UAGAGUUUGAUCCUGGCUCAGGAUGAACGCUGGCGGCGUGCCUAAUACAUGCAAGUCGAACGCACAGCGAAAGGUGCUUGCACCUUUCAAGUGAGUGGCGAACGGGUGAGUAACACGUGGAUAACCUACCUCAAGGUUGGGGAUAACAUUUGGAAACAGAUGCUAAUACCGAAUAAAACUUAGUAUCGCAUGAUACCAGGUUAAAAGGCGCUACGGCGUCACCUAGAGAUGGAUCCGCGGUGCAUUAGUUAGUUGGUGGGGUAAAGGCUUACCAAGACAAUGAUGCAUAGCCGAGUUGAGAGACUGAUCGGCCACAUUGGGACUGAGACACGGCCCAAACUCCUACGGGAGGCUGCAGUAGGGAAUCUUCCACAAUGGGCGAAAGCCUGAUGGGGCAACGCCGCGUGUGUGAUGAAGGCUUUCGGGUCGUAAAGCACUGUUGUAUGGGAAGAACAGCUAGAGUAGGGAAUGACUUUAGUUUGACGGUACCAUACCAGAAAGGGACGGCUAAAUACGUGCCAGCAGCCGCGGUAAUACGUAUGUCCCGAGCGUUAUCCGGAUUUAUUGGGCGUAAAGCGAGCGCAGACGGUUAAUUAAGUCUGAUGUGAAAGCCCGGAGCUCAACUCCGGAAAGGCAUUGGAAACUGGUUAACUUGAGUGCAGUAGAGGUAAGUGGAACUCCAUGUGUAGCGGUGGAAUGCGUAGAUAUAUGGAAGAACACCAGCGGCGAAGGCGGCUUACUGGACUGUAACUGACGUUGAGGCUCGAAAGUGUGGGUAGCAAACAGGAUUAGAUACCCUGGUAGUCC
rnacentral:rRNA from 1 species